rnacentral:rRNA from 1 species
GACGAACGCUGGCGGCGUGCUUAACACAUGCAAGUCGAACGGAAAGGCCCCUUUGUGGGUACGCGAUUGGCUAACGGGUGAGUAACACGUGAGUAACCUGCCCUUGACUUCGGUAUAACUUCAUGAAACUGGCUCUAAUACCGGAUAGGAAUCCUUGCUUCAUGGAUGGGGUUGGAAAGCUUCUGCGGGUUUGGAUGGACUCGCGGGUUAUCAGCUUGUUGGUGGGGUAGUUGCUUACCAAGGCUUUGACUGGUGGCCGGCCCGAGAGGGCGGCCGGCCAACUUGGGGCUUAGAUACGGGCCAGAACCCCACGGGGGGCAGGAGUGGGGGAAAUUGCACCAUGGGCGGGAGGCCGAUGCAGCAAAGCCGCGGUGCGGAUGAACGGCUUUGGGUUGUAAAACGCUUUCCGCAGGGGCGAAGCUUGUGGUGACGGUACCUGCAGAAGAAGCACCGGCUAACUACGUG